rfam:Epulopiscium sp. SCG-C07WGA-EpuloA2 SCGC07WGA_51, whole genome shotgun sequence.
CGGACUAAGCAGAAAAUUGUUUUCUCACCUUACAACAAAUGUGUUAGUAAGGUCAUACUAAGCCCUAAUAAAAAGGUAUUUUGUAUGUUUAAGAGCGGAUAGAUUUUUCUGUCCGCUUUUUUAUUAGUCC